rnacentral:lncRNA from 1 species
UAUAAUCGUAUUUACAAAAAAAAUACAACAAUGACAUACUCUCUUUCUCUUUAUCCGAUCACUAACGGCGUACUCUCUCUCUUUAUCCCCAAAUUACUCUCUAUAUUUACCUCCCAAAUUCUAUGAUUUUCUCCUCAAUUUCUUCGUCAAUCCAUGUCUAUCUCCCGGUAGCAAUUCAUAAAUUAUUUUAAUCCUCAUAAUCAAGUAACUGACAUUCAUACUUUAGGUGAAUUUUUAAACUAGUUACAUGUGUAUUUCAUCAAUUUUAAAUUUGAAUACCAAUAUUGUUAGAUUUUUUCCAGAUCAUCCAUUUUGAUUUCUCAAUGGUGAAUAAUACUCCUACAAAGAUGGUUAUUAGAGGUAUAGCGUGUAAUGACCCUAAUGUACAUACAUUUUCAACAUUUGAUUUAAGAAUCCCUCAAACACAAGAAGAAGAUGCGUUGCCUUCAAAAGAAGUUAGUGGCAUUGGACGUAAAAGGAAAGUUACAGAUGAUGCUCUGGGUCUGAAUAACAAUGACGACGAGUUGAAUGAAGAGGUAUUGUAUAUUUCAAUUUUUCCAGUUUGCUACAAUUUGUUACAGUUUGUCAAAAUUUUGAUACAUAUAAACAAUCUAUUUGAUCUAAUUUGUGCUCCAACUUAUGCAUAUAUUUAGAUAAAUAUUCUAUAAACCGUAUGUGUAUCAAUUUUGUGCUCCAUUUUAUGCAUAUGUCAAUUUUAUACAAUAUAAACAAUUUUAUCCCCAUUGUAUAUUUGAUAUGUUUUUAAUGCAUUACUUGAUACUAUAUGUACAUAUAUGUAUUUAUUCAUUAUAGUGUGCUGAAUGAUGGAUAUCUUCUUUGUACUAUAUGUAUAUUUGGUAUUGUAUGUAUGUAUAUGUAUUUAUUCAUUAUUGGGUACUGAAUGAUGGAUAUCUUAUUUGUACCAUAUGUAUAUUUGGUAGUGUAUACAGGUAUGUGUAUAUAUGUAUAUAUCCAUUACUGGUACUAAUUCUAUACAUCAUUUUGUAUUGUAUUUAUUUUUGGUACUUGCAUAUAUGUUGUAUUUAUUACAUUGUAUUUAUAUGCUAUUGUAUUUGUAUAUAUGAAAAAUCUACAAUAUUAUGUUAAGAAACCUCCUAAAGAAUCACCUAACAUGUGUUGAUACUCCAAUAAAAAUAUAAUAGUGGAUUUCAAUGACAAACUUUCCGUUUAGCAGUUUGAGAAGUUUAGCAAGACUUGUUUUGGAGUCUAUAUGUGUAUGCAUGAGUGUUAUGUUCAAGCACAAUUAGUUAGGUGCUUUAUGUCCCUGGAGUUGGAAAUAGUUCAAAAGAUGCUCUAUUGAUAUAUGUAAUUGGAUCGAUACUUCGUUUUACGAUUAGGAAAUUUACAAUUAUAAUAGGGUUAAAUUAUGUUGGCGAUGAAGAUGAAUUUACAAUAGAAAAUAAAGAGCUUAAUUGAAUUGUUUCACAGUAUUUUGGAGGUUGAAAAUCAUUAAAAAAGAAGCUUUGAUGUCACGACCCAAAAAUGAGGAUCAUGAUGGGACUUGUCGCGACGUACCUUGACAAGUAAGCCUAUCACCCAAACUGAUACAAAAAUAGGAAAAGACAGAAAUACCCAUGGUAAGGCUUCUAGAACGAAAUCGAACCAUACAAGUAAUUAUAAUAAUGCGGAAAGAACUUAUUCAAAAUACCAAUCAUGUUUAAAACCAGGUUUCAAUAGUGUAAGAAAUGCUAACACAAUCUAAGAGUCAAAUACAUUAGAAAAAAAUCACAAAAGAAUAAUAUUUGCCUCCGAAUACUAAUAAAGAUAUAACUACUAUAAAAAGAUAAUGGUGAACUCUGGACGCAUGAAUGUCCAACCAAUACCUUGGAAACUACAACAAUCGCCCGAGUCAAGCAAGCUGAGGUGUACUCAAGCUAGGAUCUGCAUCGAAAGGGUGCAGUAGGCAGGAGUGCAGUCCACUUGUACUCAGUAGGUAUCACAGGACGACCAAGAAAAGUAAUAAAUAAAGCAUACAAAAUAUACAUUAAGGGCACGUCACUUGUAAUCAAAAAAUGUCCCACAACUAUUUCUUACACCGCUUGCACUUAUAGUUCUAAUAUAUCAUAUAUAUUGCAAUAUCACACCAAGAUCGAACACUAGUAUGCAUUAUAUCAUAUAUAUAAGUAGAACAAAGGGAACAUGUAUAUACAAGAUCAUCAAAUACAAGUAAAAGAAGAUAAGACAAUUACAUAGAUGACAAGUCAAUAUGGCAAUUCAAUACAAUAUAAACACAAUAAAGUAAGUGCAAUGUAUAUGAUGAUGAUGAUGCACGAGGUCUUUACACAACCUCCAGGAUCGUCGGAUAAUUCCUGUAUACACCUAUAGAAGAAAGUCUCCCAACGCAGGACCCAUGAGGGGUUUUUCAACCCGUAUAAAAUCCAUAUAUCUCAUAUCUCCUUUCCGGCAUAUCCCUCAGAAAGGAUUUUAUAAGGUGUUAUAAUAUCUCCUCCCCGGCAUAUCCCUCGAAAUUUUUUUUAAAAGGUGUUGCCAGUGUUAAUCUGGUGUUGCUACGGUGGUGCCAAUGUUUCAUAAAUGAGUAUGAUAUGAGGAUAUAAUGCCCACAAUUAAUCACAAUGAGUAUUUCCACAACCAAUCACAUGAUAUAUUUCCACAACUAACCACAAUGAUGCAUUUCCACAACCACGCGAACCAAUAUCCACUCAUUAUUUCCAUUUCAUCCAUGAAUUUCCACAUGUCUCGUAUGCCAAUAAAGUAUGAAUAUAAUCACAAUACACCAAUGGUACCAUAUUAAUCAUUUUAACAACACAAUACAAUUAUUCACAUGUAUUCAAGGUUAUCAAUAUCACAUAAGAUCUCACAUAGUCACACAUAUCACAUAAUAUCUCAAUUUUGAUAAUUACAUCACAUAUAGGCCUCCACACGGAUACAACACAUAGAUAACCAUUUUUUCAUGAUUAGUUCCCACCCUUAACAUGAAUUUUGUACAAUCAUUUACUACCCAAUCCGGUCUGAAAGAGUUAAACCAUAACCUACCUUAAAAAUCAAAAUACCACAAUCAAGACUUUGCUCCAAAAACCUUACUCCUCACGAACGGUCACGAACUCUACUAAAAACAUCAAAUAUAGAAUCUACAUAUCAAAAUAAAACCAGCGAAACCCAUAUUGACUACAUUUGGUUAGGCAUUAAAACGGACCUACGAAACGGGUUUUUGAAAAAGAAGGGUAAAAUUAAAACUUUACUUCAAAAAAAUGUUUCUCAUAUUUUUAGAAACCUACUGCUAAAAACCCAAGUCAAAUCAAUGAAAAAUUAUUUUGAAUCUUUACCGGGUAAAAUUUUUAAAAUUCGGGUUAAAAUCAAGAAUCAGAGUUGUUUUGAAGGUAAAAUUCAUGAAAACUAGUAAUAAUAAGAUAAAAAUAAUAUUCAAGAGAAAAAGAGUGAAAUUGGGGUUUAAAAUCAAGCCAUAAGAUUUUUGAGUUUUGCGAAAUUAACCAAGAAAUUACUAAGAAAAUGAUGAAUUCUUACCUUAAAUCCGUAAGCGAAUCAAGAAAUAGACGUUAAUUUAGCUUCCCAAACUCCCAUAAGCUUCACUUUUAAGCUCUCACACUAUUUUAGAAUUUAAUUCUCAAGAGGCAAGGUGAAAGAAUGGUGAAAAUGGGUCAUAAAAAUGAGAAAAACUUGCUAUAUAUAGCAGAUUUUUCUAAGUCCAAAUAGACUUCGAUCGGGUGCCCGGAAUUUGUUCGGAGUCUGAUAUAUGCAAAUGAACUAUGCAACCAUACUAAAUUCUUCAUUCUGGACUCAAUGGAGAUAUCAUAUUUUUGAAAAAAACGUCGUUUUCACAAAGUUGACCCUCAAAACCUGAAAUAAUAAUUUUCUAAAUCGAGGGCCGAAAUGAGAUUUAAAAGCCGUAAAAUCACACCAAACAUGUUACCACCCUAAAAUUAACGUUUUGCAUCUACUGUCAAAGUUGAAUUUUCUAUCUGGGAUCGUUUCUAUCAAAUAUGGAUCCCACACUCAUAUUUCUAAUUUUUCAACUUUCCAAUCAAUAGGUCAAAAUCAGCUCGGGUGCACUGAUACCCGAACCAAAGGUCUACCUAGUCCAAAAUUGAUAUUCUGGGACUAUAUUCAUCCAUCAAUUGAUAAGGCUCUCGAAGCUAUCAAAAACCACAAUAUCGCAUAAAUGGUACCAAAAUGCAUCGAGAACCAUGCCAAUCACCCCACACCUUAGAAAUACCAUAAUGCAACUACGAGGAGGGGUAAAAUAGUCAAAUCACACAAACUUUCAUAAAAAAAUAGGUCGUUACAUCAUCCACCACUAAAAAUCUAGUUCUUCCUCAAACUAAAGGCAAAAGAAAUACCUAAAUCACCAAAGAGCUAGGGAUGAGAACUACACAUAUCAGAUUCGACCUCCCAAGUAGCCUCAUCUAUAGGUCGAUGUAACCACUGAACCUUAACGACAUGGAUAACUCUAGAGCGCAACCGUCUAACAUCCUUAGCCAAUAUAGAGAUCGACUCCUUAAUAAAAGACAACCACUCAUCUAACUGAACUGAUUCCCAAUGAAUUACAUGAGACUCUCCCGAAAUGUAACGGCGAAGCAUAGAAACAUGAAAAACUGGAUGAACAAUUGAUAGAUCAGGGGGCAAAGCAACUCAUAAUUCAUAUCACCAACAGUCCAAAGAAUCUCAAAUGGACCAAUCUACCUGGGGCUAAACUUGCCCUCUUUCCCAAACCUCAUCAACCUUUCAUAGGUGAAACUCAAAAGAAAACACAAUCACCAUCACCAAAUCUCAAGGCACGAAGUCUAUGAUCAGCAUAACACUUUGCCUGCUCUGAGCUGCUCAAAGUCUAUCCUGAAUGACCUAGAAUCUAUCUAAAGACUCACGAAGCAAGUCCUUACCUUGAGAUAUCACCUUUGAAACAUCAAACCAACCCCCUAGGAGUGACAACGCCUACCAGAUAAUGUCUCAAAAGAUGCCAUGUCGAUACUGGAAUGGUAGUUGUUGUUAUAUGCAAACUCAGCUAAAGCCAAAUGUUGCUCCCACUACUACUAAAAUUCAUCAUGCAUGCCCGGAGCAUAUCCUCUAAAACCUGGAUAGUCUAUUCUGACUAGCGAUCAGUGUGAGGGUGAAAUGUGAAUACAAAACUUUAAUCUGAAAUAAUGGACAUUGGUGCACCAUGCAGACAAAUAAUCUCAAGAAUAUAGAUAUGGGUCAACCUCUCAGUACCGAAUGAGACCUGAUCUAAAUAAAAUAAACUGACUUAGUCAAUUGAUCCACGAUGGCUGAAACACUUUCAGAACCAUGAGAUGUACAAGGAAAAUCAGUCACAAAGUCCAUGGUGAUCCAUUCUUACUCCUACUAGGGAAUGGGUAACCUCUAAAGAAACCCACCAGACCUCAUAUGCGGAAAAUAAAGGCAACGAGCUAUGAAGUCCACCACAUAUCGCUUCAUACCACCCUACCAGUAGUGUUUUCUCAAAUCACGACAUAUCUUAGUCACUCUUGGAUGGAUAGAAUAUCUGGAACAACUGGCAUCCUCUAAGAUCAACCUAAUCCAAUUACCUACUCUCAGCAUACAAACUUGACCCCUAAUUCUCAAAACUCCAUCGAAUCAAGUGAGCUUUUCUUCGCAUCGCCAGUCAACACCUUAUCUCAAAUCAAUCUCAAUCCAACAUUAUCAAAUUGAUGAGCUCGAAUCUGCUUCAUCAAAGAAGAUCUAGCCUCCAUAAAUGCCGAAACACGCCUAGGUAUCAAAAUAUCAAGCCUAACCAUCUGGUUAGCUAAAGACUGAACCUCUAAGGCUAAAAGCCUCUUCUGGAUCAACAGAUGCGCCAAGCUACCCAUGCUAGUCGUCUUUCAACUCAAGGCAUCCACAAUCAUAUUAGCCUUGCCCAGAUAAUAAAGAAUUAUCAAGUCAUAAUCCUUAAUCAAGUUAAGCUAAUGAUGCUGCCUUAUAUUAAGAUCUCACUUGGUGAAGAAGUAUGAGAAGAUCUAACAACGGACUCCAUACAAGUAGUGCCUCCACAACUUCAAGGCAAACACAACUGCGCAUCACUUCAAAUCAUGGGUAUGAUAAUUUCUCUCAUGAGGCUUCAUAUGAUGAAAUGCAUAAGCAAUCACCUUUCCCUCCUGCAUCAACAAAACACCUAACCCAAUACCUGAAGCAUCACAAAAGAUGAUAAAACCUAUGCCUACUUUUCUAGGUAAAUGUAGUAGGUAUAGCCCAAUCACGAACUACUGCAACCUUGACUGGAUCAAAUAUAAUAUCCUCCUUAAUCACCAUAUGACCCAAGAAAAAAACAGACUCCAACUAAAACUCGCACUUAGAGAACUUUGCAUACAACUUUUCAUCCCUCGAUCCCUGAAGCACAAUCCAUAAAUGCACCUUAUGCUCAGCCUCACUCUUGAGAUAAACCAAGAUAUCAUCUAUAAAUACAAUAAUAAAGAAGUCGAGAUACAGUUGAAACACCCAUUUUAUCAACUCUAUAAAUGCGAUAGGGGCAUUAGUCAAUCCAAAGAAUAUAACUAAGAACUCACAAUGACCAUAUCGAGUCUGAAAAGUUGUCUUGGGAAUAUCUAAAGCUCUAAUCCUCAACUGGUGAUAAUCGAACCUUAAAUCAAUCUUUGAAAAUACUGCAACACCCUGUAGUGGAUCAAAUAAGUCAUCAAUACGGGGAAGAGGACACUUAUUCUUAAUCAUCACUUAUUCAACUAUCGAUAAUCAAUACACAUACGCAUAGACCUAUUCUUUAUCUUCUCAAACAAGAUAGGCGCACCCCAAGGCGAUACACUAGGUUGGAUAAACCCCUUAUCCAAUAACUGUUGCAUUUAAUAUUUUAAUUUCUUUAACUUGACUGAGGCCAUCCUAUAAGGAGAAAUGCAAAUGGACUUGGUUCAUAUCUUAACAUCAAUAGCAAAAUCAAUAUCUUAAUCCGGAAGCAUACCAGGUAAGUCCGUAUGAAACAUAUCUAUAAACUCAUAGACAAUACUGACAUUAUCCAAGGAAGAAGGUGAAACAACACAAGUAUCACGAAUAUGAUCCAAAAUAAGAUAAACAUCUCUUCUCAAUUAAUUUGCGAGCCUGAACAUAUAAUAUAAUUCUCUUAGGGCCCAAAUAAAGUGCACCCUUCCAAGCUAUCCUUGGCACACUCGGCAAAGCUAAAGUCACAGUCAUCGCAUAAUAAUCUAGGAAAAAUGAUAAUAAGCCAACCAAUCCAUACCCAAAAUAACAUCAAAGUUAACUAUAUCUAACAUAAUCAAAUCUAUCCAAGUCUCACUGCCACAAAAAGUUACAACACAAGAUUGGUACACCCAAUCUACCACUAAAAAAUCUCCUGCAGAGGUAGAUACAUGAAUAGGUAAUACGAGAGGCUCGCUAACAGAAUCAAGACCUGAAGAAAAAUAUAAAGACACAUAGGAGAAAGUCAAUUCAAGAUCAAAUAAUAUAGAUAUAUAUCUGAAACAAAGGGGGACAAUACAUGUGAUCAUAAUAUUGGAUGCGUCCACCUCUAGCCUAGCGGGUAUAGCAUAACACUCAUCACACCACUAACUGGCUGAAUAGCCCCAUGACCACCACCGUAGGCUCCACAACCUCUACCUCUCGCACCUCUGGUAGAUCCUCUACCUUUUAUAGCUGUAAUAGGAGUAGUUCUAAUCACACAGAGGGAUAGAUAAUCCUUGGCCAAAUGGAGAACCUCACCACACACAAAGUAACCUCUAUGGCCUGACUCCACCGGAUAAGGUAUAACUAGGCCUGGAUGACCACCCUGAACUGUUGAACCCAAAGAUCCACCACCUAAACUCCAUAAGGUCACCUGUACUGGCCUACCCUGAUAUCUACGAGAAUCUCUAAAAUAUUUACCAUAGGGGACUGACCUCUGAAAUCACCAAACCGAUGCACCUUAUUGGCGCCACUCUAAGAUACUCAAGGAAUACCCUCUAUCACCUGAGCAUGAUCUAUAAUACUCUACAAGAAUGCCUCAAGCACAACUAUCUGAGACAUAGCCAACUGAAGGAAGACAUCCAAACCCUUUACAAACUUUCAAAUCUUCUCAAAGUCGGUGGAAAUGCUAUAAUAGAAAUAUCUGGAUAGGGCAUGAAAGCGUGCCCUAUACUCAACAACUGUCAUGGAGCCCUGCUCUAAAUGAUCAAGUUUAUCUCGUAUACGAUCACUUAGACUGAAAGGCACAAAUAUCUUUGGGAAAGCCUUGAAGAACUGAUCCCAAGUCAUCUCGGGUGAAUCAAGAGGUCUACAACUGACAAACAACCUUCACUAAUUUGUUGGCAUAUCUCUCAAUUGAUAAUAUAUAGUAUAAGAGACACCAUACACGCAGAAAGAGCGAAACACAACUAAGAACACAAGGUUUGAAAGAAAUUCACAUGAUAAAGAAUAAAAUAAGAAAAGUAUCAUAAAGACAUCUUAUAGCCUCUCGAAGAUAGAUAUGGAUGUAUCGAUCCAUGAGACUUUAUUAGACAUUCGUUCUUAUACCUUUGAGACCAAUAAAACCUGGUUACUCUAAUAAAAAUUUCUCAUGACCCAAAAAUGAGGGUCAUGAUGGCACUUAUCAUGCCGUACCUUAACAAUGUCCAUGACCACAUCUUUUUGGCACUUAUCAUGACCCAAAAAUGAGGGUCAUGAUGGCACUUAUCAUGCCGUACCUUAACAAAUAAGCCUAUCACCCAAACUGAUACAAAAAAUGAAAAGACAAAAAUACCCCAAGGUAAGUCUUCUAGAAUGAAGCCGAACCAUACAAGUAGUGAUAACAAUGCAGAAAGAACAUAUCCAAAAUACCAAUCAUGUUCAAAACUAGGUGUCAAUAGUGUAAGAACUGUUAACACAAUCCAAGAGUCAGAUACAUUAGAAAAAUAACCACAAAAGAAUAAUAUUUGUCUCUGAAUACUAAUAAAGACAUAACUACUCUAAAAGAUAGAGGUGAACUUCGGACGCAUGAAUUUCCCACUGCUACCUUAGAAUCUCCAACAAUCGCCCAAGUCAAGCAAGCCAAGGCGCACUUGACCUAAGACCUACACCAAAAGGGCGCAAUAGGCAUGAGUAUGGUCCACUUGUACUCAGUAGCUAUCAAAGGUCAUCCAAACAAAGUUGUAAAUAAAAUAUAAAAAAUAUACACUAAGGGCAUGUCAUCUGCAAUCAGAAAAUAUCCCACAACGGUAGCCCACACCGCUUGCACUAACAGUUCUAAGAUAUCAUAUAUGUUGCAACAUCAUACCAAGAUCGAACAUAAGUAUGCAUUAUAUCAUAUAUAAGUAGAAAAAGGGGUAACAUACAUAUACAAGAUCAUUAAAUACAAGUAAAAAAAGAUAAGACAAUUAACUAGAUGGCAAGUUAAUAUGGCAAUUCAACACAAUAUAAACAAAAUAAAGUAAGUGCAACGCAUAUGAUGAUGUACAAUAUUUUUGUAAAACCUCCUGGAUCGUCGCACAAUCUCCAUAUACAAUACGGAGGAAAGACUCCCAAUGCAGGACCCAUAAGGGGUUCGUUAACGCGUAUACAAUCCACAAAUCUUAUGUAUCCUUUUUGACACAUCCCUUGAAAAGGAUUUUAGAAGGUUUUACAAUGUCUACUCCCCGACAUAUCCUUUGAGAAGGGUUUUUAAAAGGUGUUGCCAGUGUUACUCAGGUGUUGCCAUGGUAGAAACAAUAUUUUAUGAAUGAGUAUGAUAUGAGGAUAUAAUGCUCACAAUCAACUACAAUGAAUAUUUCCACAACUAGUAACAUGAAAUAUUUCCAAAACCAACCACAAUGAUACAUUUCCAAAACCACGUGAGCCAAUAUCCACUCAUUAUUUUUAUUUCAUCCAUGAAUUUUCACAUAUCCCAUAUGCCAAUAAAUUCUGAAUACAAUCACGAUACACCAAUGGUACCACAUUAAGAAUUUUAAUAACACAAUAAAAUUAUUUAUAUGAAUUCAAGGCUAUCAAUAUCACAUAAGACCCCACACGGUCAGACAUAUCACAUAAUAGCUCAAUUUCGAUAAUUACAUCACAUAUAGGCCCCCACAUGGGCACAACACAUAGAUAGACAUUUUUUCCAUGAUUAGUUCCCACCUUUAAUAUGUAUUUUGUACCAUCAUUUAAUACCCAUCCCGGUCUAAAAGAGUUAAGCCAUAACCUACCUCUAAAGUCGAUAUACCACAACCAAGACUUUGCUUCCAAAGACUUACUCCUUGCAAACGGUCACGAACCCUACUAAAAAUAUCAAAUAUGUAAUCUACACAUUAAAAUAAAUCAAUGAAACCCAUAUUGACUACUUUUAGUUUGGGGUUAAAACAGACCCACGAAACGUAUUUUCGAAAAAGAAGGGUAAAAUUAUAGCUUUACUUCAAAAACGCAUUUUAUCAUAUUUUUAGGAACCUGUAGCUGAAAAUCUAAGUCAAAUCGAAUAAAAAAAAUGAGGUUUAAAUUGAAGAAAAACUAUUUUUAAGCUUUAUCGGGUAAAAUCUUUGAAAUUUGGUUAAAAUCAAGAAUCAGAGUUUUUUUAAAAGUUAAAUUCAUAAAAAAACUAGUAACCAUAAGAUAAAUAUAUCAUUCAAAGGAAAAAGAGUGAAAUUGGGAUUUAAAAUCAAGCCAUAAUAUUUUUGGGAUUUUUUAGAAAUUAAUCAAGAAAUUACUAAGAAAAUGGUGAAUUCUUACCUUAAAUUCGUAAGAGAGUCAAGAAAUAGAUGUUAAUCUACCUUACCAAGAUCCCAUAAGCUUCACUUUUAAUCUCUCAGACUAUUUUAGGAUUUAACUCUCAAGAGUCAAGGUGAAAGAAUAGAGAAAAUGGGCCAAAACAAAGGGUAAAAAUCUGCUAUAUAUAGCAGAUUUUUCUAAAGACCAAACGGACUUCGAUGGAGUGCCCAGGAUUUAUUCAGAGUCUGAUAUUUGAAAAUGAACUAUGAAACCAUACUAAAUUUGAUGUUUCGGACUCAUUGGCGAUAACAGAUUUUUAGAAAAUGUCAUUUUCACAAAGUUGACCCCAAAACUCAAAAUCAUAAUUUUUCAAACUGAAGGUCGAAAUGAGGUUUAAAAGUGGUAAAAUCACUUCAAACAUGUUACCACCCUAAAAUUGAUAGCCCGGAUCUUCUACAGAAGUUGUAUUUUACAUCCAAGAUUGUCUCAACCUAAUGUGGAUCCCACACCAAUUUUUUUAAUUUUUUAACUUUUCAAUCAAUAGGUCAAAAUUAGCUCGGGUGCAUUGAAACUCAAAUCAAAGGUCUACCUAACCCAAAAUUGAUAUUCUAGAGCUGCUGGAGUAGUCUGUUUAGCCAUCUAUCAUACAAAUCAAAAGAUAUCCACAUAAGUCUAAAAUAAAGCUCUAGAAGUCAUCAAAAACCAUAAUAUCGCAUAAAUGGUAUCAAAAUACAUCAGAAAUCAUGCCAAUCAUCUCCACACCCUAGAAAUAUCAUAGUUCAACCAUGAGGAGGGGUAAAAUAGUUAAAUCAUACAAACUCAUAAAUUUCACAUAUUUUAUCAAAAAGUAGGUUGUUAUAUUUGAUCGAAUACUUAGACAACCAGGAAUGAGGUGAGGGUAAUGAUGAUGAUAUGGUCAAUAUAGCUUUGUUUUAUUUCAUUAAUAUAUUUAUUUUUCUGAUGAGAAGAAUUGUAUAUCUCUCCCUAAGCUCCAUUUUCAUUUGAUUGAGAAUGGUCAAUACAAGAAUUACCCAUGGGGAAAUAAAGCUUCUAAGGGCUUGGCGAAAUCUAUUUUUAAAAAGAUGGAUGCACAUAAACAAUAUUAUAGGGUACAUGGUAUGUCACUUGAUAUAAAAGUUUGGAUUUAUGAGUGCUUCUCUUAUGUUGAUCCAAAAAUUAUUGUCAAACGUGCUAGUAGAAUUUCCAAAUUGCUAAAUUGGAAGACCACUGACAGGUGUCCUCAUUUUAAGGUUUUCAUCAAAGGCAUGUUAGCUUAUGUUGACAAUCCGAUGAUUAUGAAUGUAUUCUUAAUUAUUACUAUUAUAAUUUACAUGUCUUCAAAAUACGCUAAUCUGUCUAUUAUUUUCAGAUAGUAUACAGAAAUAUAAUACCCACUUCAAGAGAAUUGACAAUUUUAUAAUUGUCUUCAAAUAAUGCAGUAUCAAAUACAACUUUAGACAAUGUGUCUUCACAUGAUGAUUUUCAAAAUGCUCCCCCAAUUACUGUAAAAAAUAAAGGAAAUAAAAAAGUUGAUAGUGCAUCAUCUCCAUCUUAUAAGAAACAUAAACAAGUGAACUUUACACCUUUACCAUCAAAUAUUCUACCAAAUCAUCCUCAAGGAAUACACCAACAAAGCUGACAUACUAUGUAACUUGAAGAAAACCCCCUCCCAUUUUCAUUUCAAAAGCCUUAUAAAGAAGAGAUCAUUGUCUUUAAUUGUAAAAUAUUAGACAAAGAAGAUCGUGACUCGAACAACUAUUCCAUAAAGGAGUGACUGGAAAGACUUUUCCUCGAAGGAUUCUUUCCCAGCUUAUUAUACAGACAAAAAUUAUGUUGUCACGCCUAUAGUUAAGCUAAAAAAAUCUAAUGUUCCUAGUGAUGUACCUUCCAGCAGCAAGCUAGAUGAAGAAUUCAUUUUGGCUAAACAAUUAGUCAUUUUUCAGCAAUUGAUACAUGCAAUUUUAAUUUUUCUUAUAAGUAAUUUUACCUUUUGUUCACAUCUUUUUUUUUUUUGAUACUUUUUUAAAGGUGAAGUUCGAGAUCAGUGAUCUACGCAAGUUGAUAAAUGAUAACUUGAAGAAUGUUAUGAAAACUAUCAAAGCAAUUAAUAUUGUUGAAAAAGUAUUAUAAUAACAUUUACUUUCAUUAUAGUAUAUAUUUAUAUAUAGGGCAUACACUAGUAUAACAAAUUUCAUUGCAGGGUUCCAGUGUUGAAGUUGCGGGUAAUAUGCCUGCCCUUUCUUAACCAUCACCUAAAGAUAUUAAUGUUGGUCGUUCUAGUAUUCAAAUCAAUCUAAUACUUCAACAUUUGAGCUACAACACAUACCAAAUCAAUAAAUUGUUAUAACUGUCUAUGUAUGCAAUAUAUUAAUUUUUUAAGUACAUUUAUAUUUAUGUUUUUUUUUAGAAUAUAGAAAUACAUGAAUCAUCUAUUGGUCUAUCAUAUUUGUCCAUCUUCUACAGGGUUGCAAUGUUGAAGCUGUGAAAGAUAUAAUCUAUUAUUUUUCAACCGUCACCUCAAUAUAUUAGCACCGAUUGUUUUAGUAUGCAUAUGCGAUGUAUUAAUAUUUAUGUAUUUAUGUAGCUAAAAAAAUGCAUGAAGCAUAUAUUAAUUCAUCAUAUAUUGUUGUUGAGCCGAAUAAUGACAUACAAUUUAAUGAAGUACCAAAGGAAAAGGAGUUACAU